GGAUUGGGCAGUUUGCGGUCACCGACAACACCGUUGCGUUCGCGAACAACAGUGUUGCCCGUGAACGCAGGAUGCCGGUCC
rnacentral:miRNA from 1 species